UACGUAGGGUGCAAGCGUUGUCCGGAAUUACUGGGCGUAAAGGGCGCGUAGGCGGCCGCCUAAGUCAGACGUGAAAUCCCUCGGCUCAACCGGGGAACUGCGUCUGAUACUGGGUGGCUUGAAUCCGGGAGAGGGAUGCGGAAUUCCAGGUGUAGCGGUGAAAUGCGUAGAUAUCUGGAGGAACACCGGUGGCGAAGGCGGCAUCCUGGACCGGUAUUGACGCUGAGGCGCGAAAGCCAGGGGAGCAAACGGG
rnacentral:rRNA from 1 species